rnacentral:rRNA from 1 species
GACGGAGGAUGCAAGCGUUAUCCGGAAUGAUUGGGCGUAAAGCGUCCGCAGGUGGCAGUUCAAGUCUGCUGUCAAAGACCGGGGCUUAACUUCGGAAAGGCAGUGGAAACUGAACAGCUAGAGUAUGGUAGGGGCAGAGGGAAUUCCUGGUGUAGCGGUGAAAUGCGUAGAGAUCAGGAAGAACAUCGGUGGCGAAGGCGCUCUGCUGGACCAUAACUGACGCUGAGGCGCGAAAGCUAGGGGAGCAAACGGG